rnacentral:lncRNA from 1 species
UCCCCUCUUCUCUCUCUGCCCCCUCUACUGACAUUCAUUUGUCCCCCUUGUAUUAUUUUUCCCUUUCCCCUCACUUCCUCUUGUAUGUACUUUUGUAUAACUCUGAGGGUCUCCUUCCAUUUCCAUGCAAUUUCCCUUCUCUCUCCCUUUCCCUCCCACCUCUCAUCCCUGUUUAAUGUUAAUCUUCUUCUCAUGCUCUUCGACCCUACUCUGUUCUUAGUUACUUUCCUUAUAUCAAAGAAGACAUUUGGCAUUUGUUUUUUAGGGAUUGGCUAGCUUCACUUAGCAUAAUCUGCUCUAAUGCCAUCCAUUUCCCUGUAAAUUCUAUGAUUUUGUCAUUUUUUAAUGCAGAGUAAUACUCC